UCUGGCUCAGGAUGAACGCUAGCGAUAGGCCUAACACAUGCAAGUCGAGGGGCAGCACAUGGAGUAGCAAUACGAUGGUGGCGACCGGCGACACGGGUGAGUAACACGUAUGCAACCUACCUUUAACAGGGGAAUAACCCGUUGAAAAACGGACUAAUACUCCAUAACACAGGGGUCCCGCAUGGGAAUAUUUGUUAAAGAUUAAUCGGUUGAAGAUGGGCAUGCGUUCCAUUAGCUUGUUGGUGAGGUAACGGCUCACCAAGGCCACGAUGGAUAGGGAACUGAGAGGUUUAUCCCCCACACUGGAACUGAGACACGGUCCAGACUCCUACGGGAGGCAGCAGUGAGGAAUAUUGGUCAAUGGAGGCAACUCUGAACCAGCCAAGUCCGCGUGAAGGAUGAAAGUCUUAUGGAUUGUAAACUUCUUUUGCAAGGGAAUAAAGUGGGGGACGUGUCCUCCUUUGCAUGUACCUUGCGAAUAAGGAUCGGCUAACUCCGUGCCAGCCGCCGC
rnacentral:rRNA from 1 species